rnacentral:rRNA from 1 species
GACGAACGCUGGCGGCGUGCUUAACACAUGCAAGUCGAACGGAGUGCUCAUGAUAGAGGUUUCGGCCAAUUGAUUGAGUUACUUAGUGGCGGACUGGUGAGUAACGCGUGAGGAACCUGCCUUUCAGAGGGGGACAACAGUUAGGAAACGACUGCUAAUACCGCAUGAUGCAUUGAGGGGCAUCCCUUUAAUGCCAAAGAUUUAUCGCUGAAAGAUGGCCUCGCGUCUGAUUAGAUAGUUGGCGGGUAACG